AAGAGAGUGCAAGAGAACGUGAAAUCGAUGCAAUGGAAGCGGAUGAAGUCGCCGUAUCUAGUGCGUAUUCAGUUGUUGUCGACGUAGAUCUUGAGUGUGUUAUUCCGCAAGGUUGGCUAGCUCUUGUUGUCUGCGUUGGCGUCAAUGCAUUUGCGUACAGAGUGCAACGGGUCGUUGAGGGUCGUGGAACGGAGUGCAUUCUAGAGGACCAACCUCGGUUGGAAACCUGGAUUGUGCCGAGAGCCAUUGGCCUUCUUCGGUUUUUGUAGGGUUCAUGGCUUACGACUUGGCUAUGCUUGUUUUAUGGGGUUUGAGGUGAACACAUGUGUUCGCUUCUUAUGCUGUGRAAUAGGUGUGGUCGAUGUCACUUGGACCUUCUCGUUGUAUUGGCGAUCACUUAUCCGACCCGUCUUGAAACACGGACCAAGGAGUUUAUAUUACACGCAAUUUAUUGAGCGUAAAAACUCAAAAGAGCAAUGAAAGUGAAUAACUGUCUUCGGACAGCAACGUGAUUGUUGGCUCAUUCGUGGGCCAGCACGCAACGUUGCCCCAUUCCAAAGGCUUGCCUUGGGGUGGAGGUUGAGCGUGUGAAAUGAGACCCGAAAGAUGGUGAACUAUGCCUGAACAGGAUGAAGCCAGAGGAAACUCUGGUGGAAGUCCGAAGCGGUUCUGACGUGCAAAUCGAUCGUCUGAUUUUGGUAUAGGGGCGAA
rnacentral:rRNA from 1 species